AAUUACUACAUUGUUCAAUAGAUCAGAAAAUAUCGGAAAUAAAUUAUAAUUUAUGCAAAAGAAACUGAUAAUAAUAAGUAUGCUGAAAAUUGGGAAACAUUGAUUGCACGUUAUUACGUUGAGCCAAUAAAGUCGUGGCAACGAAAGUCUCCUUAGUGAUCUCCACUAAUUAAGUUAAAGCUGGAAAAAUGGGAAUACAAAUGGAAACUUGAGAAAAUGACUCAACAAUGCGGUGGCCAUUCAGGAUGGGCAUGUCGUUCUGAGCAGUUGCAACUCCCUCACAUAAACAGCGCAGGCAAUAGGGAAGGCAAGGUCUAGCUAUGUGGCUGUGGGUUGUGCUUCAAAAAUCCAUUGUUACCAAUGGGCAAAAGCUAACGACGAAGCAAGACAGUGGCAAGGAGAAUAAAGGGAGGACAUGGACGAAAGGGAGGAGUUUUCCAUAAGUGGCUCCUAGAUUCACGUCGGUUGGGCAAACGGCAGCAAUCGACGGUCCACGUUUCUUUUGCUUUACUGUCCCUUGUCUGUAGGAUGUUAGCUGUUGUCUGGCAAAAGAUGUUCUAAUUACGGUCUUAACUUGCUGAAUUCUUAAAAUGCUUGUCAAAUAAUAAUUAUUUAGAAAGCAUUUUCAGUUAUGAAAUGAAAUACGAGCGCAUCUUGCAAUUUUCCUUUAUAAUUGCCGCGCUCUGCUUUCCUUUGUUUUUUUUUUGUUUUCUAUGUUUAUACCCGCUAUCCAUAGGGUAGAAGGGUAUUA